GUGAUGGGUAGGGGAGCGUCGUCUGCCGGGUGAAGCAGCCGCGUAAGCGAGUUGUGGACGGUUGACGAGUGAGAAUGCAGGCAUGAGUAGCGAUACAAACGUGAGAAACGUUUGCGCCGAUUGACUAAGGGUUCCUGGGUCAAGCUGAUCUGCCCAGGGUAAGUCGGGACCUAAGGCGAGGCCGACAGGCGUAGUCGAUGGAUAACCGGUUGAUAUUCCGGUACCCGCUGUGAAGCGUCAAACAUCGAGCAUCGUGAUGCUAAGGCCGUGAAGCCGCCCUGGAUCCUUCGGGUGAAGGGGAGUGGUGGAGCCGCCGGCCCAAGCGGUUAGUAGGUGAGUGAUGGGGUGACGCAGGAAGGUAGUCCAUCCCGGGCGGUGGUUGUCCCGGGGUAAGGGUGUAGGCCGUGCGAUAGGUAAAUCCGUCGCACAUGUGGCUGAGACCUGAUGCCGAGCCGAUUGUGGUGAAGUGGAUGAUCCUAUGCUGUCGAGAAAAGCCUCUAGCGAGUUUCAUGGCGGCCCGUACCCUAAACCGACUCAGGUGGUCAGGUAGAGAAUACCGAGGCGUUCGGGUGAACUAUGGUUAAGGAACUCGGCAAAAUGCCCCCGUAACUUCGGGAGAAGGGGGGCCACACCUGGUGACCGGACUUGCUCCGUGAGCUGGGGGUGGCCGCAGAGACCAGCGAGAAGCGACUGUUUACUAAAAACACAGGUCCGUGCGAAGCCGUAAGGCGAUGUAUACGGACUGACGCCUGCCCGGUGCUGGAACGUUAAGGGGACCGGUUAGCUCAGAUUCGUCUGGGCGAAGCUGAGAACUUAAGCGCCAGUAAACGGCGGUGGUAACUAUAACCAUCCUAAGGUAGCGAAAUUCCUUGUCGGGUAAGUUCCGACCUGCACGAAUGGCGUAACGACUUCUCGACUGUCUCAACCAUAGGCCCGGUGAAAUUGCACUACGAGUAAAGAUGCUCGUUUCGCGCAGCAGGACGGAAAGACCCCGGGACCUUUACUACAGUUUGAUAUUGGUGUUCGGUUCGGCUUGUGUAGGAUAGCUGGGAGACUGUGAAAGCGGCACGCCAGUGUCGUGGGAGUCGUCGUUGAAAUACCAGUCUGGUCGUGCUGGAUGUCUAACCUGGGUCCGUGAUCCGGAUCAGGGACAGUGUCUGAUGGGUAGUUUAACUGGGGCGGUUGCCUCCUAAAGGGUAACGGAGGCGCCCAAAGGUUCCCUCAGCCUGGUUGGCAAUCAGGUGUUGAGUGUAAGUGCACAAGGGAGCUUGACUGUGAGACCGACGGGUCGAGCAGGGACGAAAGUCGGGACUAGUGAUCCGGCGGUGGCUUGUGGAAGCGCCGUCGCUCAACGGAUAAAAGGUACCCCGGGGAUAACAGGCUGAUCUUCCCCAAGAGUCCAUAUCGACGGGAUGGUUUGGCACCUCGAUGUCGGCUCGUCGCAUCCUGGGGCUGGAGUCGGUCCCAAGGGUUGGGCUGUUCGCCCAUUAAAGCGGUACGCGAGCUGGGUUUAGAACGUCGUGAGACAGUUCGGUCCCUAUCCGCUGUGCGCGUAGGAGUCUUGAGAAGGGCUGUCCCUAGUACGAGAGGACCGGGACGGACGAACCUCUGGUGUGCCAGUUGUUCUGCCAAGGGCAUGGCUGGUUGGCUACGUUCGGGAGGGAUAACCGCUGAAAGCAUCUAAGCGGGAAGCCUGCUUCGAGAUGAGGGCUCCCACCCACUUGAUGGGGUAAGGCUCCCAGUAGACGACUGGGUUGAUAGGCCGGAUCUGGAAGCACCGUGAGGUGUGGAGGUGACCGGUACUAAUAGGCCGAGGGCUUGUCCUCAGUUG
rnacentral:rRNA from 1 species